GGGUGGGGUGGGGGUGGGGGGGUCAAAGGGGGACCGGGAAGUAAUUCCAUGUAGAACAGCCACUGCACCUGUGUCACAACUCCUGCCGAUACUCCAAAGCUGAAAACGUUGUGUUCAGAUUGCUGGGCUGAAAAGGGUUGUAAAUCUCUAGCUGGGCCUCAUUUUAUUCCUAAUGAACAACACAAGACAGAGUGCACAAGUCCACAUACUGUUGCUACUCCUACAUUAGCCAAAUUGUAAAUAUUUUUUUAUUUCAACAGAAAUCUUUCGCCAUAGGACUCUUGGAUCGGCCGAUAGAUCACCUUUGUUAAAGUAUCUUAACUUAGCUAAAUGCUGUAAUAAAAUACAAAAACAUUCUAAUGUUUGAGUCAAUCUGAACUACCGACUAUUGCCGUAACAAAACUUUAGCUCUGUGUUCUAGUGGAGUACGAGGCAGCUGCUGCGCUGUCAGGCAAGACGUAUGGUAGAUCCAUCAUGUCCUGAGUUGUCUAACAGAGUCCCUUAUUGACUGAACAGAAUCCCCAGAGAGCUCUGAAAAUCAAUCAGGCUUUGAUUGGAUGGUUACUGCCUGCCAUGCCUCUGUGUGUGACACCUCUGUAUGAGUUUGCGACGUGUGUGUGUGUGUGUGUGUGUGUGUGUGUGUGUGUGUGUGUGUGUGUGUGUGUGUGUGUGUGGCCUGUCAUGUACUACAAAUGACAUAUUGUUUUUACACCAGUAUAUUAAUCAUCUUGUAUCGAAUGAGGAGACUCUUGUGCGGCGCCUUGUGGCCUCUCUUAUGUGUAAAAUAGUCAUGUGACAAUAUUUAUUUUAAACCCUUUAUCCCAGAUCAGCGUAAUACUGCACGGCGUUGUGGGAAUUUUACAGCAUUUGUGCCGCUAUGCUUAGUAGUAAUACUGCCGCAAAGUCGGACUUGUGAAUGUAUAUCAUGCUUUGGCGCAAAAGGAGGAGGUGCCGUGAUCACAUGGGGAGUUACUGCUGAGGUCCAGCCAGCAACUAAAUUAAAAAAGCAAAGUAAACACAAGCAGUAACUUUCACUUUUGUUAACAGAACCAGCUGAGGUGAUAAACUGGAGCGAUGCAGUGCCACUCUUCAUCAGAGCAGGUGUUUUUGUCUAAAUUAAACGGAAGUCUGUGACAGUGCAGAGAUCGCCCCCAUACCCCCUUUAUACCGCCACGGCGUACUGUUUUGUAAAAAAUACAGGAUUGCGCCACAUUACCGCCACGGUCUAACCCCUUGUAAAUGACCUAAGGCGCCCAGAUGCCAACUCGCCGUUGCGGCAAAUUGGCGACAUUAUUUUCUAAAAAAGGCUUUCAUUGAUGUUUAUGUCAGGGUUUGGAUUUUGGGGGAGCUAAGGGGAGCCUGGCUCCCCUGAAAGUGUUACAGGCUCCCCUAGAAGCCCUCAACUUACACAGAGGAUCCAGUUUCAACCUAUAUUAUGGUAUUUAUGUGGACGCUCGGUGUAUCGAGAGUUCUUUUGAGUGGAGAAGAUGGAGAACGCUGAUUGUACAUCCAGCGCACGGCCACAGUAACAAAGUGGUCGCCACCAAAAUAUGUUAGCACACGAUCGCUCAUGUCCGCUCAUUCUCUGGUACUUUGUCGUUUAUCUAUGCAUGACGCGCUGGGCUGCUGCGGAGCUCAGAACCCGUGCUCUGGCGUUGCCGCAAAAUGCGCACUCUGAGGGUCGAGGCAAAAUAGACCCCCUUCCCAGUCUCACAGGGCUUCCCCAAAAAAGCCACUGUGUACUGGUUGAUGUUCACCUCUAAAUCGCAUGAAACUACAGUCAGACCUAGUUUUGCGUAACCUCCUCCCGGGACCUGGUGUGCUAUCCUGGAGCCACACAGGCACACUUCCAGCCCUCACUACAGCUCCCUCCAUGCUCCCAUUUUGUGUGUCAGUGAGUGUGGCUUGUGUUACUGUAUCUUCAGGACUUGCAUCGUCUUCAGAGACUGUAGCUAUCACUCUGGCGAUACAAUGCUUGGUGCAUUGAGGUGAUUUAUAUCCGUUGUGACUGGUUACCUCUCUUAGAACCCCCGGGCCACUGUCAGAUAGCCCCUGACCCAGCUUCAGCUCCCUUCCCCUGGGCAUGGCUUCUCAUCCCAGAGUCUGGAUCUUAGCCCACACAGUUUAAUAGAUGCCGGUUGAGUUAUUGCACCGUAUAUUCAGCGUUUGACGGUUGAACAUCAGAACCAGGUCAUGCUUUAGGUUGGAGGUGGCCCUCACAAUGCAAAUACAAAUAAAAGUUAUUAUUAUUGUAAAAAAUGAUGCAUUUUUACUUAAAAAUACAUCAUUUAAAACUUGCAUGCCUCUCCUGAACUGGAGUCAGAAACCGGCCCAUCAGCAGACUUAAAAGUCUGGGUUCAUUAGUUGCUAAGUAACGAUCUUAAGCAUCCCAGGCUUGAUGAUCACAGCUCAUUGAUCGUCGUUUCUCUCAGUCUACACCUGAUAUUGAUCAUAUCGCACAUGUGCACAAACACAGUACCGGCUGCAGCCUCAUACUAACACUCAAUAGGAAGGAUUUGAUUACUGAUUAUUGGUUCAGCUGCAUAUACCUACUUUUGUCCAUGUUUGUAUGCAUUAAAAUGUCCUCUCGUGCUGUGUGGUAGCCAGUGUUUGCAAGAAAUGAGUGAAAUGCCUAACUUCCAAAAGGUUCUCUUUUCUACUUGUCUGUCUUGUAAAUUAGGGCUGAGCACUUCCUCUGCUUAUGUACUGUCAGGGCUUGCUGAGCUUACGGUAAUGAUUAUGGGUAAUUCUGUGCUGGCAAUCACUGAUGUAGUCAUAAUCACAGUAAAGAAAGCCCCUGGGGGGUUAUAACCAGAAUAAGAACUCUCCCCUCUGUUAUUUCCUUAUGCUCUGCAGAAAAUGUGCUCAUAAAUGGAGAAGCCUGAGAAUUUUCUUCAGUCCGAUUCAGGUUUUUCCAGAACCGCACCAGUAAUGGUGUGUUGGCUUUGUUCAGUUUUGCUCUUUUUACUGUCUUGCAACAGGUCUGUACUGUCACGAUGUGUGGCUGGAGAUGGUGGACCAUGUGUGGUGGUGGGUUCCGGAGGCAGAAGAGCAGGCACGGAGAACGUAAAAAAGAAUUUAAUUACAGAACGGGAACGGCAGGAACAAACACAACGGUGACAACAAAUAACAAUGAUCUGACGAAGGAACAGGAGCAAAACAUGUGGUAGAAAUACACGAGGCUGAUUGGGAACACAUGGGCAGGUUAACGAGGGACAGGUGAAAACAAUCUGGACUAAUCGGGGCAGGAGAGAGACACACAGGCUGUGUCUCAAUUCAGGGUCUGCAUCCUACGUCGGCCGGAUUCGUCGGCCGGUUACGUCACAGCGCCGCGACUAGGCCUGUCCCAAUUCGAAGACUCCUUCAAAUGCGGUCGACGAAUGCGGCCUUCUUUUCGCCUGAAUGAAGGAUGGGUCGGGUGUAUCCUUCAACAGGUAGCAUUUCCCAAGAUGCCUUGUGAGCCGGCCAGCAGAAAAACUUAAAAACAAUGGCGGACAGUGAAGAGGGAGCUGUCGGAGAGGAUUGCGCAUAUAAAUGUCAGUAUAAACUUUAAAACUGUUAGGUUAAGGACUUUUUGUGAUACAUGAACAUUAUUUUAGUUAGAAAUGUUACAGUAAAAGUGCUUGUAUUGCGGUCUCGGCUCGUAUGUUCGGCCGCUCGGUGUCGUACUUCUCCCGCUACGUUUCCCCCUGAUUUUAAUAGAAGUUUGUAUUUUAGGAACAAAAGAGAAAACCAGGGAAGUUAUUAAGCUUAGGGCGGAGAUGGACCACAUGAUCACCGGAGCAAAGUAUUCGGCGGCUGUGGCAUGGAGACUAUUCUGGAGAAAAUGGGCAUCCAGGGGAAGGUGCCAGCGAUGACCAGCUUCUGGAGCUGAUCAGGGAGGACAUGAGGCUGCAGAGGGCCCAGGAGAGAAGGAAGGACUUUGACAGCUUUUUACUUUGCUAGAAAAAAAAUGGUUAAGGAAGAUUAAACAUGUACAUAUAAAAGAAAUAUCUAAAUAAAAUCAGUUCUGCAUUAAACUCUUGAAUUUUAUUUUUGUUUACAAAUGAGAAUUGUUUACUAGAGGGUAUCCGCUGGGUCUUGAAAUGUCUUAAAAGGUGAUAAAUCGGUUUUGGUCAAAUUAAGACCCUUAGAAAGUAUUAAAAACUAUUAUCACAUCUUUGCUCAGGCUCAGCUUGUCUAAAGUAUUUUCUCUGAAUUAGCUCUCCAACAGUCAAGGAAAUGAUUAACCCCCAGAGACCCACGGUUGUAAUAUUACAACAUCAGAUUUAAGUCUACAAAAAUAAACCUUCCCCAUUUUUUUCUUUUUAAAACCACAUUUACAUUGCUAAUAGGUCCUAUUGUUCAGUUCUGCAACACUAUUGGCUGUUAAAAUGUGUAAAUAGGCCCAUUUAUCUGGCCUCCUAGAACAACAUGUGAAAGGUUAAAAAAAGAUUUUGCAGUUGUUUUCUAAAUUUGGGUCUCUGGGGGUUAAAAAGCUAAAUAAAACGUCGAGCUCCAUCGUUUAAAGUUCCUUCUCCCUUCUGCCCAGCGGUUCCACGGUUGCUAGGCGACGGAACGUUCGCGGAGGGAGUUCAUGAAGGCUAGGCCUGUCCAAAUUCACAGCCGUUAACAUCCGGUCUACCCGGCCGACGGAGGACCCAGCCCACGUCGGCCGGGUGGGCUGGGUCCUUCGAAGGAUGCAGACCCUGAAUUGAGACACAGCCACAGUCAAGAGGGAAGGGGCAGAUCGUGACAUGUACAUUUCUGAGAAAUAAUAAACUUAAGUUAGUUUCACUUUUACUCAAUUUUAAUUUGAAGACAAUGUCACUCUACAUAAACUUCCUACAGCUCUGACGCUCCUUCCUAACCACCAAUGCUGUUCAGAAACAUUGUUUUCUAUUUUAGUAACUUUAGCCGUUGUUUGUAGACUGUUAGUAAUGCUAAGUAUAGUUAUUGAUCGUAUUGAAGUUUACCAAAGAAUGAUCGGACAUCAAAACUGCAUUUAUAAGAGACUGGUUUCUCUUGUCUAACACCAUGAUCUGUUUUUUUAAUAUGCAAAAAUAUGAAUUGUGUUAAUUAAGAGCAAUAUUUCAGACCCUGAAUGAGUUGAACUAAUUUUAUUGAGCGGAGAACCUCUCACACCAGUGAUGUUCUGUGGCUAAAUACGUAAGUAUGUAAUGAGUGGAGGAGCCAGGGAAGUGCAGCGGUUCAGUGAGACCUUCAACUGGAUGGUCCAAUAGUUGCUUUAGGUCCGAAACAUGUUAUUGAUGGACAUUUUUAGACAUAUGCGAGAGAGCCACUUCAUUUAUUUCUUUUGUCUUCACAAAAUAAUGUUGUUGUUGAGAGGCAUUAAAAUGUGUUAAGCUAAUUUGUUUUCCAGACUUGCUAUUGCAGCACAUAAACUCCAUUUGUAAUUAAGGUCAGACAUUUUGUUUUUUCAUAGUCCUAUAGCAAUUUUGAACUUGCCAUUAAAGAAAUUUAAGACAAAAUCCCUGUAUUUUCAUAUAUAACCUGUAACUGAAGUGAAGAGAGGGCUGCACAGUGCUGCAGUGGUUAGCACUGUUGCCUUGCAGCAAGGAGGCCCUGGGUUUGCAUCCCAACCUGGGGUCUCUCUGUAUGGAGUUUGCACGUUCUCCCAAGUGUGGAUUAUCUCUUGGUACUCUGGCUUCCUACCACAGUCCAAAAACUGCCCUUAAGGGUGAGUGUGUGAUUGUUUGUCCUGUGUAUCUCUGUGUUGCCCUGUGAUGGACUGGCAAUCUGUCCAGGGUGUACCCCGCCUGUUUGCCCAAUGACAGCUGGAGAUGGGCACUAGCCCCUCACAACCCUGCAUGGAUAAGCAGGUACAGACAAUGGAUGGAUGAAGUGAUGAGAUCAACAGAAAAUACAAAGUUCUUCUGAUUGGCUGGUUGAGGUCACUGUGGCAACCACUUGUGGCCCGUUAAAGCUGCCAUGAUAAUCACCAUUGUUUCAUUAGGGUCAUUAUGGUAAUUACCAGUGGUACAUGAACAUUGCCUUGGUAACCACCAGUGGCUUUUUGAAGUCUAAUGUUAAGAGUUUAUGUGGAAACUGUUUGCAGUUUUUGUGCAAAUUUCAUCUAUUGUAAUGUAGAGCUACCAAAGGUCAUAGCACGUAAUUCCCAAUGGAGAUACUUGUUUUGCAUGAGAUAUUCAAAAGCUGCAGAAGGAUAAGCUAACUAGAGAUCUUGAAAAAACAA